rnacentral:rRNA from 1 species
GUGGGGAAUCUUGCGCAAUGGGCGAAAGCCUGACGCAGCCAUGCCGCGUGGAUGAUGAAGGUCUUAGGAUUGUAAAAUCCUUUCACCGGUGAAGAUAAUGACUGUAGCCGGAGAAGAAGCCCCGGCUAACUUCGUGCCAGCAGCCGCGGUAAUACGAAGGGGGCUAGCGUUGCUCGGAUUUACUGGGCGUAAAGGGCGCGUAGGCGGACAUUUAAGUCAGGGGUGAAAUCCCGGGGCUCAACCUCGGAACUGCCUUUGAUACUGGGUGUCUUGAGUAUGAGAGAGGUGUGUGGAAUUCCGAGUGUAGAGGUGAAAUUCGUAGAUAUUCGGAGGAACACCAGUGGCGAAGGCGGCUCACUGGCUCGAUACUGACGCUGAGGUGCGAAAGCGUGGGGAGCAAACAGGAUUAGAAACCCUAGUAGUCC